AACCCUAGAGAUAGGGCUUUCCCUUCGGGGACAGAGUGACAGGUGGUGCAUGGUUGUCGUCAGCUCGUGUCGUGAGAUGUUGGGUUAAGUCCCGCAACGAGCGCAACCCUUGAUCUUAGUUGCCAGCAUUCAGUUGGGCACUCUAAGGUGACUGCCGGUGACAAACCGGAGGAAGGUGGGGAUGACGUCAAAUCAUCAUGCCCCUUAUGACCUGGGCUACACACGUGCUACAAUGGACAGAACAAAGGGCUGCAAGACCGCAAGGUUUAGCCAAUCCCAUAAAUCUGUUCUCAGUUCGGAUCGCAGUCUGCAACUCGACUGCGUGAAGCUGGAAUCGCUAGUAAUCGCGGAUCAGCAUGCCGCGGUGAAUACGUUCCCGGGCCUUGUACACACCGCCCGUCACACCACGAGAGUUUGCAACACCCGAAGUCGGUGAGGAAACCUUUAUGGAGCCAGCCGCCGAAGGUGGGGCAGAUGAUU
rnacentral:rRNA from 1 species